UACGUAGGGUGCAAGCGUUAAUCGGAAUUACUGGGCGUAAAGCGUGCGCAGGCGGUUAUGUAAGACAGAUGUGAAAUGCCCGGGCUUAACCUGGGAAUGGCCAUGGAAACUGGCGAACUGGAGUGCGGCAGAGGGGGGUGGAAUUCCGCGUGUAGCAGUGAAAUGCGUAGAGAUGCGGAGGAACACCGAUGGCGAAGGCAGCCCCCUGGGCUAGCACUGACGCUCAGGCACGAAAGCGUGGGGAGCAAACAGG
rnacentral:rRNA from 1 species